AACGAACGCUGGCGGCAGGCUUAACACAUGCAAGUCGAGCGCCCCGCAAGGGGAGCGGCAGCCGGGUGAGUAACGCGUGGGAACGUACCUUUUGGUUCGGAACAACUCCGGGAAACUGGAGCUAAUACCGGAUAAGCCCUAACGGGGAAAGGUUUAUCGUCGAAGGCUCGGCCCGCGCCUGAUUAGCUAGUUGGCGAGGUAACGGCUCACCAAGGGGACGAUCAGUAGCUGGUCUGAGAGGAUGAUCAGCCACACUGGGGCUGAGACACGGCCCAGACUCCUACGGGAGGGAGCAGUGGGGGAUAUUGGACAAUGGGCGGAAGCCUGAUCCAGCCAUGCCGCGUGAGUGAUGAAGGCCGUAGGGUUGUAAAGCUCUUUUGUCCGGGAAGAUAAUGACUGUACCGGAAGAAUAAGCCCCGGCUAACUUCGUG
rnacentral:rRNA from 1 species